rnacentral:rRNA from 1 species
AUGAACGCUGGCGGCGUGCUUAACACAUGCAAGUCGAACGAAGCACUUAUCUUUGAUUCUUCGGAUGAAGAGGUUUGUGACUGAGUGGCGGACGGGUGAGUAACGCGUGGGUAACCUGCCUCAUACAGGGGGAUAACAGUUAGAAAUGACUGCUAAUACCGCAUAAGACCACAGAGCCGCAUGGCUCGGUGGGAAAAACUCCGGUGGUAUGAGAUGGACCCGCGUCUGAUUAGGUAGUUGGUGGGGUAACGGCCUACCAAGCCAACGAUCAGUAGCCGACCUGAGAGGGUGACCGGCCACAUUGGGACUGAGACACGGCCCAAACUCCUACGGGAGGCAGCAGUGGGGAAUAUUGCACAAUGGGGGAAACCCUGAUGCAGCGACGCCGCGUGAGCGAAGAAGUAUUUCGGUAUGUAAAGCUCUAUCAGCAGGGAAGAAAAUGACGGUACCUGACUAAGAAGCACCGGCUAAAUACGUGCCAGCAGCCGCGGUAAUACGUAUGGUGCAAGCGUUAUCCGGAUUUACUGGGUGUAAAGGGAGCGUAGACGGCUGUGUAAGUCUGAAGUGAAAGCCCGGGGCUCAACCCCGGGACUGCUUUGGAAACUAUGCAGCUAGAGUGUCGGAGAGGUAAGUGGAAUUCCCAGUGUAGCGGUGAAAUGCGUAGAUAUUGGGAGGAACACCAGUGGCGAAGGCGGCUUACUGGACGAUGACUGACGUUGAGGCUCGAAAGCGUGGGGAGCAAACAGGAUUAGAUACCCUGGUAGUCCACGCCGUAAACGAUGACUACUAGGUGUCGGGGAGCAAAGCUCUUCGGUGCCGCAGCAAACGCAAUAAGUAGUCCACCUGGGGAGUACGUUCGCAAGAAUGAAACUCAAAGGAAUUGACGGGGACCCGCACAAGCGGUGGAGCAUGUGGUUUAAUUCGAAGCAACGCGAAGAACCUUACCAGGUCUUGACAUACUCAUAAAGGCUCCAGAGAUGGAGAGAUAGCUAUAUGAGAUACAGGUGGUGCAUGGUUGUCGUCAGCUCGUGUCGUGAGAUGUUGGGUUAAGUCCCGCAACGAGCGCAACCCUUAUCUUCAGUAGCCAGCAAUUCGGAUGGGCACUCUGGAGAGACUGCCAGGGAUAACCUGGAGGAAGGUGGGGAUGACGUCAAAUCAUCAUGCCCCUUAUGAGCAGGGCUACACACGUGCUACAAUGGCGUAAACAAAGGGAAGCGAGCCUGCGAGGGUAAGCAAAUCUCAAAAAUAACGUCUCAGUUCGGAUUGUAGUCUGCAACUCGACUACAUGAAGCUGGAAUCGCUAGUAAUCGCGAAUCAGCAUGUCGCGGUGAAUACGUUCCCGGGUCUUGUACACACCGCCCGUCACACCAUGGGAGUUGGUAACGCCCGAAGUCAGUGACCCAACCGUAAGGAGGGAGCUGCCGAAGGUGGGACCGAUAACUGGGGUG